rnacentral:rRNA from 1 species
GCAUAUUAAUAAGCGGAGGAAAAGAAAACAACUGUGAUUCCCUUAGUAACGGCGAGUGAAACGGGAUUAGCCCAGCGCUGAACGGCUGAUCCUAGCAAGGUCAUGCUGAAUGUAGCGUUUGGAAGGAUCUCUUCCAGAGCUCGGAGACCAGUCAAAGUCCAACUUGACAGUGGCCACAGCCCAUAGAGGGUGAUAGGCCCGUAAGACGGUACUCCGGCUCUGCUGAUCUCUUCCCUGAGUCGAGUUGCUUGAGAGUGCAGCUCAAAGCGCGAGGUAAACUCCUCGUAAGGCUAAAUAUCACCCCGAGACCGAUAGCAAACAAGUACAGUGAUGGAAAUUUGAAAAGAACUUUGAAGAGAGAGUUAACAGUACGUGAAACUGUGUGGCAGUAAACGGAGCCUUCCUCGAAGUUAACCGGUCGGACCCAUCCUAACGGCAUGGCGCAGCCCUCGCUCUUGGAUCAGCAAUGACCUUUUGCGGGGCGUCUUGCGUCGCUCGGCGGGUGCAUCUCCGACCGGUGUCACGAUAGGAACUCUUGAYUUGUCUGGACCUAAGGCCCGGGUCGAAGUUUUCCCUUCGGGGUCAGCCUCCCGGUGUCCUGGCUUCGGAUUCGAGAGGCAGCCACGGCGGGACUUGUACAGCAAGCAACGCUUUCUGUUGCGGUCCCCCGUUCCCUAUCGAGUAGGUCGGGCAGGCUCCGACCCGUCUUGAAACACGGACC